rnacentral:rRNA from 1 species
UAGGGAAUCUUCCACGAUGGGCGAAAGCCUGAUGGAGCAACGCCGCGUGUGUGAUGAAGGGUUUCGGCUCGUAAAACACUGUUGUAAGAGAAGAAUGACAUUGAGAGUAACUGUUCAAUGUGUGACGGUAUCUUACCAGAAAGGACGGCUAAAUACGUGCCAC